rnacentral:lncRNA from 1 species
AGUGUGGCGAAAUUUAGGAAACAAUAUGUAUGUUUGGAGAGAGAAAGCCAGAUACGCAGGAGAAGGCUUGCUACCUCCAUAGAGGGACCUUUUCUCCUUGGAACUACCUGAGGUUCAGGUAGGUCCCCCCAGCUGAGCAGAAUACUAAAUAAGGCCGCAAAGAUGAGGAUGAAAGCCUGCAGGUUCAGGAUGGUGGGAAAGAUGGCAUUGGUGAGCACUGUACAGCCCCGGUCUCCCUGCCCCUAGAGUUCUUGUUGUGUAAGACUGUUUAAGAGCUUCAGUUAGAUUAUUUAGAGUUAUGUUAGUGGGAUGUGUUUUCAUUAUCAGAAGCUGACUCCCCAGGUCAGUAUUAACUCCAGGCACUGGCAACAGAGAAUCUGAGUCUUCAACCUUGAUAGCAAGAUUGACUUGACCUCCCCUUGUAUGAUUAGUCUGUGGAUUCCUGCAUCGAAAUCUCUUGAACAGCUAUAAAAAUGCAGACACUAGAACCUCACUCUAGAUUAACUAAAUCAGAUGA